rnacentral:rRNA from 1 species
UGCNNGUCGAACGGAAAGGNCCUUCGGGGUGCUCGAGUGGCGAACGGGUGAGUAACACGUGGGUGAUCUGCCCUGCACUUUGGGAUAAGCCUGGGAAACUGGGUCUAAUACCGAAUACACCUUGCUGGUCGCAUGGCCUGGUGGGGGAAAGCUUUUGCGGUGUGGGAUGGGCCCGCGGCCUAUCAGCUUGUUGGUGGGGUGAUGGCCUACCAAGGCGACGACGGGUAGCCGGCCUGAGAGGGUGUCCGGCCACACUGGGACUGAGAUACGGCCCAGACUCCUACGGGAGGCAGCAGUGGGGAAUAUUGCACAAUGGGCGCAAGCCUGAUGCAGCGACGCCGCGUGAGGGAUGACGGCCUUCGGGUUGUAAACCUCUUUCAGUACCGACGAAGCGCAAGUGACGGUAGGUACAGAAGAAGCACCGGCCAACUACGUGCCAGCAGCCGCGGUAAUACGUAGGGUGCGAGCGUUGUCCGGAAUUACUGGGCGUAAAGAGCUCGUAGGUGGUUUGUCGCGUUGUCCGUGAAAACUCACAGCUUAACUGUGGGCGUGCGGGCGAUACGGGCAGACUGGAGUACUGCAGGGGAGACUGGAAUUCCUGGUGUAGCGGUGGAAUGCGCAGAUAUCAGGAGGAACACCGGUGGCGAAGGCGGGUCUCUGGGCAGUAACUGACGCUGAGGAGCGAAAGCGUGGGGAGCGAACAGGAUUAGAUACCCUGGUAGUCCACGCCGUAAACGGUGGGUACUAGGUGUGGGUUUCCUUCCUUGGGAUCCGUGCCGUANCUAACGCAUUAAGUACCCCGCCUGGGGAGUACGGCCGCAAGGCUAAAACUCAAAGGAAUUGACGGGGCCCGCACAAGCGGCGGANCAUGUGGAUUAAUUCNAUGCNACGCGAAGAACCUUACCUGGGUUUGACAUGCNCAGGACGCGUCUAGAGAUAGGCGUUCCCUUGUGGCCUGUGUGCNNGGGUGCAUGGCUGUCGUCAGCUCGUGUCGUGAGANGUUGGGNUAAGUCCCGCAACGAGCGCAACCCUUGU